AUGUCACUGCUUUUAAAUUCCAACCCUUGCAUAAUGAACGAUAACAAUUUGUGUGCUUUUUUUAAAAUCAACUUGUCAGCUGGUUCUUCUGCUGUUAGUGACCUGAGCAGAAACACUGCAAGAUUUCUUUGUUCCUCUACACAUACUCAACUUCCUGCCGUUCAUUGCAAUCUGAAAUAUGAAAGGAUCUGAAAGAAAGUCCUAACAAAUCCCACCACCAUAUCCAGGAAGGUAAAGGAAAAGUGAGGCUGGACUCCUUUCCACGGAAAACAUGACUGCUUCCAUUUGACAUCUCCACAUUUGACUAAAUAUGGAACACAAAAUGAAUACAAAUGAUAAUCAAGAGAAAUUCUCCAGCUCUGGGGCAUAGAGUACCAGGACUCCUACACACAAGGACCAUGAUCUGAAAAAAAAUUCUAAGAGAAAAAAACUGUUGGAGCCUGUGAUAUGCAGUUUGGAAUUCAAUCGAAUGACCUAGCAAGAACACAAGCUGCUUUGUAGAAAAGAUCAGAGAAGAGGUGGGGAGUCAUGAACAAGUCUAUUUCGAAGUGUCAAGGAAGAUGUGAAUGCAGAGGAGGUCAGCUGUCACUCUCAACGGAGGCCACGGGCUCAGUAGCCGGGUCUCUAGUGUUUGUGUUUGGACCCGGCGUGGUGGUCGCUCUUCGUGGAAGGACUAAGUACGUGCAGCCACUCUCCUUCAAAGCUGAUGAGAGAAGUUUUCGAUAUGCUAAGAUUUAUGUGAAUAUUGGACUCUACUUUCUAUUGGUCUCCUUCAGUUUUCCGUGCUUUCUUGCUUGUCACUGAUUGGCAGCUGGGCGAAUUAUUACUUUUUAUGCGAGGAAGAAGUUGGGAAUUUGGCAUCCGAUAUUCUUAUUGGUGUUUUUCUGUGUGGGUGAAUCUGUUAGUUCUUGUGUGACAGAGAAGGGUUUGGGGUUUCGAUGCUAUUGUCGCUGUUGUUCUCUGCAAGGAAGGGGUUAAGGGAUUUUAUGCCAUCAUUACUGUUUUUUGUGAGAGUAUUGGGGCUUUGGGGUUUAUGAGGGUGACUGGUUAGUUUUUUUGUGUGAGAUAGGUACAGGGGAUUUUGGCGUUUGUAAGUUUUGUUUCUGUAUUGUUGUGGAGGAGUGAUGGCUUUUCUUUUCAACAACUCACAUGGGUUUUCUGUAUUUCAUGCCUAUCUGGAAAAGACAAAUAUCAGAGUUGUAUUUUAUAUGCAUACCUUGACAAUAAAACCCACCUUUGAACCUCAUCCUUAAUAAAUGACUCCAACAUCUUCUCAACCACAGAAGUCAGGUCUAUAAUUUCCUUUCCUCUGUGCCCUCUCUUCUUAAAAUCUGCAGUGACAUUUGCAAUUUCCCUCACCUUAAUGAUUCUUGAAAGAUCAUUACUAAUGCCUCCACAAUCUCUUCAACUACCUCUUUCAGAACCCUGGGUGAUUAAUCUACCUUCGUAACUUUCACCUUCCAAAGUACCUUCUCCUUAGAACAAUGAUACUCACUUCUAGCCUACUGCUAGUGUCUUUCAUAGUGAAGAUUGACAGAAAAUAGUUAUAAACUUCCCCCACUAUUAAAUUUGGCUCCCAUUACUACCUCUCCAGUGACAUUUUCCAGCAAUCUAAUACCCACUCUCACCUCUCUUUUACAUAUUGAAAAAGCUUUUAGUAUCCUCUUUGAUAUUAUUGGUUAGCUUCCAUUCAUAUUUCAUCUUUUCUCCCCUUAUGGCUUUUUGGUUGUUUUUAAUUGUUUCCUUAAAAAGCUUCCCAAACAUGUAACACCCCACUAAUUUUUGCUAUAUUAUAUGCUCUCUCUUUUGCUUUUAUGCUGUCUUUGACUUCCCUUAUCAGCCACGGUUGUUUUAUCCUCCAUUUAGAAUACUUCAUCUUUGAGAUAUAUCUAUCCUGUGCCAUCUAAAUUGUUACUAGAAACUUCAGCCAUAUUUUUUCUGCCAUCAUCCCUGUUACUGUACCCUUCGAAUCAGCUUAGUCCAGCUCCUCUCUCAUGCCUCUUUAAUUCCCUUUACUCUACUGUAACACUGACACAUUUAGCUUUACCCUCUCCCUCUCAAACUGCAGGGAGAAUUCUAUCACUGCUUCCUAAGGGUUCUUUUACCUUAAGCUUCUUAAUCAAAUUUGGUUCAUAACACAGCACCCAGUCCAGAACUGUCUUUCCCCAAGGGGGGCUGAACCACAAGCUGCUCUUAAAAAGCCUCUUGGGAUCCAGCACCAAGAUGAUUUUCUAUCUCCUAUUGAAACUUGCACUUCACAUCCUGGCUACAAUAUGGAGGCCUGUAUAUAACACCCAGAAUAUUUUUACCUUUGCUGUUUCUUAACUCUGUCCACAAGAAUUACAAAUCUUCCAAUCCUAUGUCACUUCUUUCUAAAGAUUUGAUUUCAUUUUUUUUAAACCAACAGAGCCACCUCUGCCUGCCUGCUUGUCCUUUCGAAACAAUGUGUAUCCUUGGAUGUUAAGCUUCCAACCACAAUCUUCCUUCAGCCACAACUCAGAGAUCCAUAUCAUACCUACCAAUCUCUAACUGCACUACAAGAUCAUCUACCUCAUUCGAUGCAUUCAAAUAUAACACCUUCAGUCCUAUUUUCAUCAUCCUUUUUGAGUUUGGCCCCUCGUUAUACCUUAACCCCUUGCUAUACUUUAAUCCAUUCCAGUGACUACAAUUUUGCUCUAUCAUCUGCCGUGUCUUGCCUCACAGACUUGCUACAAACUGCAUCUAGUUGCAUACCAACUGCUCCAUCCUCAGCCCUAUUCCCAUUUCCCAUCCCUCCUGCCAAAUUAGUUUAAACCCUCACCAACAGCUUUCGCAAACCUGUCCGAGAGGAUUAUUAGUUCUCCCUUGAGUUGAAGUGCAACCCGUCUUUUUCUACACAGGUCGUAGCUUCCCCAGAACAGAUUCCAAUGAUCCAGAAUUCUGAAACCCUGUCCCCUGCCACCUGCCAACUCCUCAGCCACACAUUCAUCUGCCAAAUCAUCCUAUUCUUAUUCAUCUUCGCUGGCACAUGGCACAGGCAGCAAUUCAGAUUACUGCUCUGGAGGUCCUGCUUUUCAGCUUUCCACCGAGCUCCCGAGAUUCUCUCUUCAGGAACUCUUCCCUUUUCCUAUGUUGUUGCUACCAAUACGCAUCAUGAUUUGUCAUUGUUCACCCUCCCCCUUUGGAACACUGUGGACCCGAUGUGAGACAUCCCUGACCCAGGCACCUAAGAGGCAAAAUAACACCAGGGUGUCUUUUCACAUGCAAAGAAUCUUCUACCUGGUUCUCUGACUAUGGAAUCACCUACCACUACUGCACUCCUCCCCUUUCCCUUCUGAGCCACAGAGCAAGACUCAGAGAUCUGCUCACUGUGGCUUCUCCCUGAUAGGUUAAUUGCCCAUACUGUACCCAAAGCAGUAUACUUAUUAUUGAGGGGAACGGCUACAAAGGUAUCUGCCUAUUCCCUUCCUCUCUCCUGGCAGUCACCCAGGUUCUUGCCUCCAAAGGAAAUAACCCAACUCCAAUAAACCUCUCUGCCAAGGUAACGAGGCCUACUUUGUCCUUAUUAUUCAAACCUCAUGUAAUUUUGUAAACCUGUUUUAAGUCACUUUCAGCCACAUGGCAAAAAGAAUCACAGCCUCAAAGAUCUCCAUGUAUUACAAAAACUCUGUAUAGUCACCAUGAUGAUUUUCUCUCCAGAGAAGUGCUCCAUUAUCACAUCCUUCCUAUAAUGCCAAUAAUGAUUCUGUCCCACUGCCAGUAAAGUAUACAAGGUGACAUAGCAGUGCAUGCUCUUCCAAUGGCUGCGUAAGUUUUCUCCAGAUGCUCUGGUUUCCCAUCACAUCCCAAUGUUGUGUAGGUUAAUUGGUCACAGUGGGUUAAUUGGUGAUUGGUCACAAUGGUUAAUAGGUGAUAGAACCUAGGGACGUUGAAAAGGAUAUGGGGAAAUUGAAAAAUGGGAUUAAAGUAGGAUUAGUAGAAACUGAGGGCCAGAUGGUCAGCACGGUCUAGAUGAAGCAAGGAGAUGCUUCUGUGCACUUUCUCUCUGAUUCUAUGACAAUAUUUCUAACCAUAUUAUCCAUACAUACUUCCAAGAUGGCAACGUGACACAGCUUGCAGCGGCCACUAUGGAGCUGGUUAUCUGUUAUUUGUGAAGUGGGGUGCCGUGCGCAAUCAUAAUCGAUUGAAAACGGACGUGGGAGCACGGAGGAACAUCGGGAAAUCUCCAGGAAGACCGUCUUCGUUGCUGUUGCUGCCGUGAUCCGGGACUCUGCUGGGAAGAACAGGACCCCAGCCCACGGGGUUGCGUUGCCGAUGGCCGUUGGCGGGGCCGUCUUAAUACGCUUGGCAAAGGAUGGUGCUCUGAGAAGCUGUGCCGGAGGGGAUGGUCAUCGGCUCGGAGGUUCGACAGACUCGGAGUCUGCUGCGGUCAGAUCGCUUUCGGUGUGUGCUGCGUCUGCGAGGCUGAGUUCAACGGAGCUUUCAUUGUGUGCUGUGUCUGCGAGGCUGAGUCGGGCAGCAACGUGGAAGUCCAUAGUGGGGGUAUUCCCUUCUGCUGCCAGCGUGGGAUGGCGAGUCUGUCAGGACCCUGGGGACUUGUGGAAACUGUGUGGAGAUUUCUUUUGAACUGAUAGUCCUUUAACAUCUUUGGACUAUUUUUACUGUGCCCAUAGUCUUUUUUUUUUUAUCAAUUAUGCUAUUGUUUGCAGUUGUAAUUAUGUGGUUUUGUGCAGGUCUUGUAGCUUUAGUUUUUGGUCUUGUUUGUCUGGUGGAUUUGGAGCUCCUUUCCGGGGGACGCGGUAAGACGGUAGCGCGAUAUUAAUACACAGCAGUCUCUCCGGACUCUGGAUUGGGGAUUGCCAAAUGUUAUGUGGAUUUUCUAGUGUAGUCUGUUUUGUCAUAUGCUUUUGUGUUAUCAUUCUGGAGGAACAUUGUCUCAUUUUUUUAACUGCAUUGCAUUUGUGGUUUCUAAAUGACAAUAAACUGAACCUGAA